rnacentral:lncRNA from 1 species
UGGUUAUAAAGGACUUGUCUAGGGGAGAGCCUGUAGGUACUCCAUUGUCUGAUUGUUUCUGUUUCAUGCCCUGUCUCAUUUCGCAUAGCUAAAAAAGAAUGCUAAUUAAGAUCCCUUGUCUUAACCUGAAAAAUAAUGACUCGGCUGUAAUUAGAAAUCUGGUGAGAGUUUAAAAAUUCUGGUAGGGGACCAAAAACAUCAGUUACGGUGCUUAGGAAGAAAAUGAAGAAUUAUUUUUCUGAAAUCAAGAUGGAUCUGAGAACGCUGUCUGGGCUUGGUACCAAGAGCUGGUAUUUCACAGCAGCGACCGCCUCACAGACGAGCUGUGGGAAGCAGGAGGGAGACUCUCUCUUAGGGUGCCACUACUAUGGAGACACAGCUGGGCUGAACAAGAUUUGCUUCAAACGACAACAAGAGAGACAGAAAGUAUCUGGUUCAACCGCUGCCCGAGCAGGCAGGCACCAGAAGAGCUAGCAGCCAAUCCGGCCAUGCUCGAAGCCAGCUCUGCAGCUCAGCCAAUCAGUGACAUCAUUGAUCUUCAGGAAUUUUACUGGGAUAAUUAUCCAAAUAAAUUGCAAGCAUUCUAUCCAAAUGGACAUCCAUAAAAAUUCAUCAGAGAGCAUUUUACUACUGAGCUGCAAAGGUAGGAAAAAUAAAUUUUUUUUGGUUAGAAAAUAUACUUCUUUCAUCUGCGUUUCAAUAAUUUAUUCCCCUUGUUAGAUAUACAUGGAAUUGAUAUUGCUUAUUCUGACUAAGUGAAAAGUGUUAUUUCUACUUACUGCUCAAUUAGAAACAUGUAGUGUUUAAUUGUCAGUUUGAAUUUUUCUUUCAUACUAUUACAGUUUAUAUUUUACUAUAGGCAGAAUUUCCUCUUUAUCCUAAAUUUUGAUAUUCUCCAUAAUUUCAUCGUGCCUUGACAUUGCUGUAUAUAAUUUCUAUACAUCAGGAAGGCAAUUCUGUGUGCAUGUGUGUGUGUAUAUAUAUAGUUAGAAGUUAGAAACUGAAACUCUUUUUUGUCUACCAUCAUUUCAUAUUUUUCUUGCUAUUUCAAACCUAUAAUUUUUAAAGAAACGACUAACGUAAUCAUUCAUAGAAUAUGCUGUCAGUAACUUAACAAUAUAAAUGUUAACAUGGAGGCAUUUAGUUCAGCAUUUGCUUUACUUAAUAGAGUGCAGAAAAUGUGGCCCUUUUCUCAGUUAGGGUGUAUGUGAAGAUAAAUUUAGAAUUUCUAGACUAGUAAAUACUUCUCUGAUAAUAACUUAAUUAUAGCUAUUUCAAACCAAAUUGUUUAAUUGUGGUGAAUCAUAUGUAAAUUGUUCAGAUGUAGGUCAACACCCACGCCCACAUUCUAGCACCUCUUUCCUAAUUCAAGACAACUUUGCAGUGCCUAAAAGAGCUGAACAGUGCAGAUUAGAGACAUAAGACAAAAAAAAAAAAAAAA